rnacentral:rRNA from 1 species
AUGGCGUUGUGUUCCCACCAUGCGAGGCAGUGGGUGUGGGAGCCGACGAUAGCCCUCGCGACAGACAUGGGCGUGACGGAGUCGCACUCUUCGACGUUGCAACAGUUCAUCCUCUUCCUCUCCCCACUGUACUGGAGAAAACACCUGGUGAAGGCGAUUCACGCUGGGCUCCAUCUUCGCGGUGGAUCACGCUGCAACUUCACGGGGGAGCGGAUCACGCUGCAGCUCGAAGGCACUGCGGCUCCAACUGCAUCUCGGCGGCCCAGCAGCUCGAAGGCGCAGCACCGCAGCUGCUCCAUCUGCAUCUGGGCAGCCUGGCAGCUCCCGCUACAACUCGGAGCUGCGGAAUCUGCAGAUGGCGCCGCUGUCACUCGUAUCGGCGAGCCAAAUCCUCACGGUUGUUGUUGUCGCUCCCUGCCGAAGGUGGCGUCUCUUCUGGCAGCCUGGCACUCCCUGAAGCUGGUGACUUUCCAUGGCUAG